GCCUCUGUAGCUCAGUUGGUUAGAGCGCUGCACCGGAAUCGCAGGGCCGUAGGUUCAAUUCCUAUCAGAAGAC
rnacentral:tRNA from 1 species